GGAUUAGAUACCCUGGUAGUCCACGCUGUAAACGAUGGUCACUCGAUAUAGGUAUCUUCGGAAACCUGUGUCUUAGCGAAAGCAUUAAGUGACCCACCUGGGGAGUACGUUCGCAAGAAUGAAACUUAAAGGAAUUGACGGGGGCCCGCACAAGCGGUGGAGCAUGUGGUUUAAUUCGAAGCAACGCGAAGAACCUUACCCAGACUUGACAUCUUAGUGAAAGCUUCUGGAAACAGUUGCCUCUCUUCGGAGCACUAUGACAGGUGCUGCAUGGUUGUCGUCAGCUCGUGCCG
rnacentral:rRNA from 1 species